rnacentral:rRNA from 1 species
GUGGGGAAUCUUCCACAAUGGACGAAAGUCUGAUGGAGCAACGCCGCGUGAGUGAAGAAGGGUUUCGGCUCGUAAAGCUCUGUUGUCGGGGACGAAUGUGCAGUAUUUGAAUAAAGUACUGUAAUGACGGUACCUGACGAGGAAGCCACGGUUAACUACGUGCCAGCAGCCGCGGUAAUACGUAGGUGGCAAGCGUUGUCCGGAAUUAUUGGGCGUAAAGGGAGCGCAGGCGGGAAGGUAAGUCGGUCUUAAAAGUGCGGGGCUCAACCCCGUGAUGGGAUCGAAACUAUCUUUCUUGAGUGCAGGAGAGGAAAGUGGAAUUCCUAGUGUAGCGGUGAAAUGCGUAGAUAUUAGGAGGAACACCAGUGGCGAAGGCGACUUUCUGGACUGUAACUGACGCUGAGGCUCGAAAGCCAGGGGAGCGAACGGGAUUAGAAACCCCGGUAGUCC